GAAAUUUGAUAAACAGAAUUGUUCAUUUAAAAACUAACUGGAAAGAUUGCAAGUUUUUCCUGAACUAUCCAGAAAUUAUGCAUCAUUUUCCUUCAAGAAUGACAAGGUCAGAAUGUGGAAUUCCAAGAUACCUCUUGCCUUCCUCUCUAGCUCCACGUUUGGUCAGUGGAGGCCCAUGUGAGCUCAGCACGCGUACUGAGAAGCGUCAGUGUCUCUUGGGGCCGGUCUACCCUGGCCACAUCACGGUGUUCAUCUGCAGCUAUUGCAAGGUGUUCAGACUGUGUGAAUCCAAAUGUCAUAAAAACUUUAAAAAGAAGUGCAAUUCUUGAAAGGUUAGGUGGACUAAAGCAUUCUGUAAAGCAACUGGUAAUAAUGAGCUUACAGUGGAUAAUUCAUUUGAAUUUGAAAAAUAUAGAAAUGAACCUGUCAAAUACUAGCAAGAACUAUGGAAUAAAACUACUGACGCAAUGAAGACAGCUGAAAAGAUCAAACAAAUGCCAAACUCAAUUUAUAAUGAACAAAUUGAAGAAAAAUAAAGGACUACAGAAAGUUCCGGACAUCAAAGAAGUCAGGCAAAACUCGUCUUAUCUUGACCCCUCUUGCAGGCAGAGGAAAGCAGCUGGACGCAAAGAUGAUUCAACAGUUACAACAGGACGCAGACAUGGAAGAGGUUUCCUGAGAAUCUCAUCUAUAACCACUAAUACAUGUACAUUUGAAAAUCUCUUUUGGAGACUUAAAACCUCUAAAUUAUUGAUUUAUUUUUUAUGUAAGGUCACUCAAAUGAAAGGUGAUUAAAAAAAUCACAUACAUUGCUGUCUACAAAACAUCAGAUAAUAUGGAUGUUAGAUUGCAUCUCAUUGUUAACUCUUCACUGAUAUUUUUAUGUAAAUCAUGAAAAUUCUGUUUGUAAAUGCAGAUGUGAAAUGUGGACAUAAAAUGGUUAUGCCAUUUGGUUAGCGAUACUAGGCAACAUUUAUGUAAUAACUAAUGACAAAAUUCAAAAAUUUAUGGCUAGUGAUAGACAUAAAAUUUUCUUUGCAGUAAAAUAUGCCCUUUAUUGUUAUAGAAGGGAGGAUAUAAGGAACCAACAGUUUGUAUGAAAAUAGCUCAGAUAAUAUAUUUUCAGUUUAAUAUUUCUCGUUUUGGUUUAUUAGCAUCUUAGAACAAAACGGCCUUAUGUAAUGAAGACUGGUUAUGCUGGACUGUUUUGACCUGGUUUUACUGUUCUGACAGAUAGCUGGGAAGGAGAGCUGAAAAACCUUCGCCUGAAAUGAUGCUAUAUAAUUUCUACUUUGGCAAAUACUCAGUUCUAACUUGUGAUUCCUGGUAGAACAAGCUUUAUUUUUCAAGCCAGCAAUGAUCUAGAAGCAGAUGUAUCUCAGUGCCUUUUAAAAUUUGUUGUGUGGUUUUUUUUAAAAAAGCCAAACAAUAAUUUUGGAAAACAACGUAUGGGUAGAACAUCUGUCUAGUAUUUGUAGAAAACCACUUUUAAUGGGUACAAAGUUAAAUUAGGAGGAAUA